AUUUGUUGUGUGUAAAAUGUUUAAAUCAUAUUUGUAUUGAAUUGAAUUGUAAAGUAAACCCUUUAUAUACUACAUCGUUUGUCUUAGACUGAACAACGUAUUACAGAUGAACAAUUAUGUAAACACACACACACACACACGUCCUGGGAGGAAAAAUUUCAAGCUUGUAUAAUCCCAUUUUAUUAGUUUUGUGCUGUUUACAACAGGCAUUGAGACAUUGUAGACAAAUCUGCAUCUAUUCCUCUAAUGAUUAACUGAAAAUGACAUUAAUGAAAAGAAAAAAGAAAGAAGAAAGAUACUGAAUAGAGGAAGAAUGAUGUAAAAAUUGUGAAGGCAGGUUUACAACAUAGGUUCUUGAAUCAUAUAAGAAAUACAAGAGCAAUGAUCGAUGUUAAAAGUUUGUUAAGGAGUAACAAACACAUGCUCUUAAGAUGUCAGGUGAUUAUCAGAUAUUUAAGUCAUUUCUGAACAAACAAAAGUGAUUUUAACAUUGUCCUUUUGACAUGUGGGCACAUGACAUCUUGUGGGCAGGGACUAUUUCAUUCCCACUCUGUAAAUGUAUUGUGAUUGAGAGGUGAGGUAGUUGUAGGAGGUUAAUGGGUAGGCUAUGAAGUAUAGACUUCAGAAAACGGAACAUUUCUAAAUCCCAUUUCUACCAUGGUAAUGGGAGAGAAAAUACAGAUUGCCCAUUGGACGGUGACUCAGAUGGUGUUUGAACACAGGAGGUGUGAAAAAAAGGUUGCUCUUUACUGAUAGAAUAUUAUACUUUAAUCGAGCCUUUCAAGGGUUUCAUGUGUCGUCUGUUUUAAUAUGAAUUUAAUAUCAUGUCAUAUGAUUAACUACAUGCAAUCUGUUUCUUUUUUUCUUUUUCUUUUUUAAACAAUCUGAUUAAGUAGUUUUAGUAAUGGCAGGAGAUCGGUUAAAGGAAUGGGUUCACCCUGUUUUAAUAGACUAGAGUAGUGGUUGUAGUUGUUGUAGGAGUGGUGGUACGAGUAGUUAGAAUAGUGGUUGGAGUAGUGGUUGAAGUAGUGGUUGGAGUAGGGGUUGUAGUAGUGGUUGUAGUAGUGGUUGAAGUAGUGGUUGGAGUAGGGGUUGGAGUAGUGGUUGGAGUAGUGGUUGGACUAGUGGUUGAAGUAGUGGUUGGAGUAGUGGUUGGAGUAGUGGUAAGACAUGACAUAAUUAUCUGAAUGACAUCAUGAUUGGUUAAUAUGGGUCACAUGUUAUUAGACGAGUAGUGGUUGGAGUAGUGGUUGGAGUAGUGGUUGGGGUAGUGGUUGGAGUGGUGGUUGGAGUGGUGGUUGGAGUGGUGGUUGGAUGGGAAACGCUUGUGGAUUGUGAAGACACUGAGAAGAGGAUAGUUAGUUAGACAGUUA
ensembl:lncRNA